CGCACCCCACGGCGGAGGCUGCCGCCCCCUACCCCUCGAGACCCCUCAACGACACGCCGGUGGGAGACCCCCUUGUCCGCACUCCGGCCCUGUUCCUCUACUACAGCCCAGUGUCCGGGCUCGGCCCAACGUCCAGCUCCAGCCGAGAGCGUAUCCAGCCCUCAUCGGACCCUCUCUUCGCCCAUGGAUUCUGCAAGUGGCCGGGAUGCGAACAGGUCUUUAAGGAGUACGAACUCUUCCUGAAGCACCUUGAUGAUGUCCACAGUCUGGGAGAUACCAGCACAGCGCAGUGCAUGAUCCAGAG